GAUGAACGCUGGCGGCGUGCCUAACACAUGCAAGUCGAGCGAUCUUCUUCGGAAGAGAGCGGCGGACGGGUGAGUAACGCGUGGGUAACCUGCCCUGUACACACGGAUAACACACCGAAAGGUAUGCUAAUACGGGAUAACAUAAGAAAUUCGCAUGUUUUUCUUAUCAAAGCUCCGGCGGUACAGGAUGGACCCGCGUCUGAUUAGCUAGUUGGUGAGGUAACGGCUCACCAAGGCGACGAUCAGUAGCCGACCUGAGAGGGUGAUCGGCCACAUUGGAACUGAGACACGGUCCAAACUCCUACGGGAGGCAGCAGUGGGGAAUAUUGCACAAUGGGCGAAAGCCUGAUGCAGCAACGCCGCGUGAGCGAUGAAGGCCUUCGGGUCGUAAAGCUCUGUCCUCAAGGAAGAUAAUGACGGUACUUGAGGAGGAGGCCCCGGCUAACUACGUGCCAGCCGCCGCCGUAACAC
rnacentral:rRNA from 1 species